rnacentral:rRNA from 1 species
UACAGAGGGUGCAAGCGUUAAUCGGAUUUACUGGGCGUAAAGGGUGCGUAGGUGGUUAUGUAAGUGAGAUGUGAAAUCCCCGGGCUUAACCUGGGAACUGCAUCUUAGACUGCAUGACUGGAGUGCGAUAGAGGGUAGUGGAAUUUCCGGUGUAGCGGUGAAAUGCGUAGAUAUCGGAAGGAACACCAGUGGCGAAGGCGGCUACCUGGAUCGACACUGACACUGAGGCACGAGAGCGUGGGGAGCAAACAGG